CAGACCCAGCAAGAAGCUACAGGAGAGCUGCCUUUGAACACACACUUCAAACGGGCCGUCUCUCCAACAUGCACCUCCAGACGAUCUAACGGAUCCACAAACUGCAGAGGAGGACUGUCCCCACAAAAGAGGACAUGUGCUCACACACUUACAGUUUACGCUGAACAGUGAUGUCAGUGUCUCUGUCACAACAAUUUCAAUUCUGCAUCGGAAGUAAUUCUCGCAGAGGAAGGUGGAAACAAGAAAACAGAAUCUUCCCGUUUGUAUAUAAAGAGGCGAGUGGAAAGAUGGAGGGAUUCUGCUAGAAGGUAGGUCAAGCGUUCAGUGGUCGGGAAACAACACUGUACUUCCACCACAUGCCUUCAUACACUUAAAGAUUCUUCAACAGGCGUGUGUGUGAUAUAAUCAGUAUGUGACCUGAUGGUUAGCAUUCCUUCGCCCACUAUUUAGCUUGUCCCUUCAUGUCCCUGCCGAGAAGAUAAAGGCCAUUUAAUUCAACAAGCAUAAAAAAAGAAAUAGACACACACACACACACACACAUCAUAAGAUCUAAACCCAUAGUUUUAACUUUCUAUUAAGCUGAUGAAUGUUUGUUUUGUCCAGUUUCUCCUUUGCUAUGUCUGCUCUCACAUUUAGCGAGCUUCAUAGCAUAACAUGUUUUAAAACCUGUUAGAGGGAAAUACACGAGAAGAUCUGAGAAAAUGCUUUGAUCUGCAUGUGUCUCUAACCGAGGCUGUGAGUGAAGACAGAGGAAGUCUGGGAAGAGUGAAGCUUAGCUCAGUAUUAAUUCUAAGGUAAAGCCUCUUUGGCAAACCAUCAACAUUUGUAACACAUGCCAACAGCAUGGAGCCAAUCCCCUCACUACUCCUCCACACAAGUGGAAGUAUCACUGCCAUGAGAUUUCAUUCAAGAGAUUGCAUUUAAGUCUAUGUCUUUUUUGCUUUGAUGACAUUUAUAUGCUAUAAUACUCCUAAAGUUUGAAGUGAGUGUGUGUGUGUUUUUUAUCUGGUAUAAUUUUGUUAACAUUACAAAAAGAUUCUAUUUGUUAACAUUAGUACAUUACUCUAACAUGAACUGACUUAGUCAAUGUUAAUUUCAACAUUUAUUAAUACAUUAAAAUAAAAGUUGUAUUGGUUAAUGUUAUUUAAUGGACCUGAACUAACAUGAACUAACAAUAAAAACACUUAAAGUUAAUUACAUUUUCAUUAUUUAAUAAUCCCAUUUUAAUUUAAAUCUGUAUCUGUUAAUAUUUAAAGGACCUGAGCUAACAUGAAGAAUAAAGUGAACAGUUGUAUUUCUAUCAACCGAUGUUAACACAGAAAGUGUUUGGUACAGUAGAACAUCGGCUGCUGCUUUCAUUAUUGACCUGAAGGCUAAAGGCUAAAUGUUCUGUUCAACAGUCUUCUGUUCUCCACGUUUUUGCUUUGCUUAUUCCAGUAUUGCUGAAUUUCCCGCAUUAUCUUCUCAGCUGAUCGCAUAAAAGCAUCAUGGAUAGCACACCUUACCCUCCACUCCAGCAGACAUAUCCAACUUUUUAUUACUUCAUUGUUUUGUUCUUACAUUUAUGCCUUCCUCCACCUCCCUCUUUGGUAGGAAAGGCAAACAGGGAUUGCAAUCAGCUUGGACUAUAAUCAAAAAUCAACUUCUAGGCAAGUCAGCCAUCACACACACACACACACACACAGAAUAUAAGCUGUCACUGAGCCAGCCAAAUUCAUAGAGUACAGUCAGAGCAAUGCUCUAUACUUGGCCACUGGCUCACUGCAUUCCCUACUUUCAUCUGAGCAAAAGAGAGGGAGAGAGAGAGGGAGUUGGGUGUGUAUAGUAAUUUGAAGAAAACACGGAAAGCCAUAUAAUACUAAAACCAAAAUCACACUCAGAAAUUCAUUAUUUUCUAUCCACACCAACACAUUACCGUUUAUAUCACCUAUAAAUAUCAUAUGUCAUAAAACACCCUUAUAUCACCUGUUACUAAUCUAGUACAUAUGCUAUAUCUAACCUAAAUCUCUCUUGUAUCCUCAGAGGAAUCAAAGCAUCUGCCACAAGAAGAAUGAAAGUGAUGACAGACUCUGCAGGGAGAGACAUGAAUAUCUUCUGCACAGAUCUGAAUGCACUGUUAAGCUAUCAGCAAAACAACAAUCUCUGAGAAGUCAGCAAAAAAAAUAUUCAAAAAAUAUUCAGUACGAUCAUUAGAGAGAGAAGGAUUCCAGCGCUGCAAGUCUGUGUGUAUGAGCAUUUGCGAUUGACUAAAUGUUUGGGAGAUUAUUCUGAAGGAGAGGACGUUAUCUCUCAUAUCUACAAAAACCUACACACAACAUUUUCCAUGAACACACAGUAUGCUGGGCUUUCUAGUUUGGCACCGUACUAUUUGAGGUAUCUGUACCCUCUAUCAGCUCUGCUACCAGGAUUAUGUGUGUGUGUGUGUGUGUGUUUAUCAGAUGUAAUGGAGAGCGUGUGUGUGCAAAGCAGCAGUUCUCAGCUGGUGGGCUGUGACUAAACAUGGCUUAUGCUGAUUACAUUGUGCUUUGGAUGUUGAAUUGUAAGCUGUAUUUCAGGGGUGAUAUAAAUAAAUACCAAAGUCUCAUUUUUAGGACACUUUUCUUACUCUUAUACAAUGCAUCAAACAAUUUUGGGUUGGUUGCUAUUUGAUGUACAUUGUAAAGUCUGGGUUCUGAGAAUCGCUGAUGCAAAGUACAUUUUGUUGCAGACACCAAAAGUUUGUUUGAUCAAACUAAAAUAUAAAAAAAGAAAAAGAAAACUCACAUCACAGGCAUUGUAAACAUGCUGAGCUUGGAAUGUACAGUACAGUAUCAUCAUGGCUAUUUAUUCUUUCAAAACACAGAUGAUUUGAAGAUAAUGUGAGGAAAAUGUAUUUGCAGUUCUUUUGAGAUACUGGAUUUGAGUUAUUCUUAGUUGCUUUUGUAAGCAAGCAUCUGCUGAGAACAUGAAUAUAGUUGACAUAAAAAACUAUUAGAACUCUGAACUGAAACUGCAUUCAGCACUAUUUAAAACUGCAUUUAAAAAAUAAAAAUAAAUUAAAACUUCUAUUUAGCUAGGAUGUAUUAAAUUAAUCAAAAGUAGUAAAGACAUUUAUAAUGUUGUACAAGAUUUCUAUUGGAAACCAAUGCUGUUAUUUUGAGCUUUCUGUUCAUUA